GCUAGGAGACAGACAGGAGCUGUCCUAUUAUGUCAUGGGCAAAUUCUUAUCCAUUCUGUUCUAAUUCCUACCCAUUAGACAAAGAAUGAAUCCACUCUGAUCUGGAGUGAGUCUACUGACGCUACAGUGGUUGUCAAGUGAUGACCAUCAUGUCCAGCUUUCUUUCCCUAUUUAAUUCCUGCCAUUCUAUUACAAAAUCACUGGCAGAUCAAGGCUUCUUUCUGAGCUCUGGGAACUGUCUCCUUUCUCUAAGAAGCACAUCAAAGACAAAGCUCCCUCCUCCACCAAUAAUCAAAGAAAUCAGAAUAUAAGCAGAACCUGAAAUGGAGACGUGAGAUGCUGCUCAAUUCAUGAGCCACAUGUUGGUUGCAGGAGUACCUCAUCUCCUUUGGCUACUUUCUGCAAGGCUGACUAAAAAGGAAGAGUACCAAAGGAGGGUGAAGACCUGGACUGUCUGAU
rnacentral:lncRNA from 1 species